rnacentral:rRNA from 1 species
GAUGAACGCUGGCGGCAUGCCUAACACAUGCAAGUCGGACGGGCGGUGGUGUUUCCAGUUGCGCACGUGUGAGCAACGCGUGAGAACCUGCCCUUGGGAUGGGCACCACAGCUGGCUACGGCUGCUAAUAGCCCGCAGGCCGAGGAGCAAAAGGUGGAAUCCGCCCGAGGAGGGGCUUGCGUCUGAUUGGCUAGGUGGUGAGUCAAUAGCUUACCAAGGUGCUGAUCAGUAGUUGGUGCGAGAGGAUGAUCCGCCACACUGGGACGGGGACACGGAGCAGACACCUUCGGGAGACAGGAGUAGGGAAGUUUCCGCAAUGCCGGGUAGCCUAACGAGGCCUUCGCGCGUGAAAGUACUAUGCCCAGGGAACAAGAACUGCUUAUCCAGCAGAAGAAGCAAUGACGGUAUCUGAGGAAUAAGCAACGGCUAACUCUGUG